rfam:Heterocephalus glaber contig79255, whole genome shotgun sequence.
CCCCGUGAAGAGGCGGGGAUAACAAAAUAAGACGAAAAGACCCUUUGGAGCUUCAACUACCUAAUUUAUACAGAUUAACAAUAUCAACUAACUGUAUCAAAUUACACGUUUUGGUUGGGGUGACCUCGGAGAACAACACAACCUCCGAAUGAUAUUAACCUAGACUAAACAAGUCAAAGUAGUUAUCAUAAAUUGACCCAAUACAAAUUGAUCAACGAAACAAGUUACCCUAGGGAUAACAGCGCAAUCCUAUUUUAGAGCCCCUAUCGACAAUAGGGUUUACGACCUCGAUGUUGGAUCAGGACAUCCUAAUGGUGUAGACGCUAUUAAGGGUUCGUUUGUUCAACGAUGAAAGUCCUACGUGAUCUGAGUUCAGACCGGAGCAAUCCAGGUCGGUUUCUAUCUAUUU